rnacentral:rRNA from 1 species
GGAUUGAGACAACGUACAAACCUUAUCGAUAAACAAUUGGAGGGCAAGUCUGGUGCCAGCAGCCGCGGUAAUUCCAGCUCCAAUAGCGUAUAUUAACGUUGUUGCAGUUAAAAAGCUCGUAGUUGAAAUGAAGGGUAGUUGUGUAAUGAAUACAUUCGUGUAUUUUGUUAUUCAACUACCCUCCUUCUAAAUUCGAUAUAUGAGUAUUAAUUUACUUGUAUAUGGUUUUAGACGUUUACUGUGAGAAAAUUAGAGUGUUCAAAGCAGGCAUUUGCUUGAAUAUAUUAGCAUGGAAUAAUCAUGUAUGAUUUUCAUGAUGUAUUUGAUUGGUUUGGUUCAUGAGAAUAAGAUUAAAAGGGACAGUUGGGGGUAUUCAUAUUCAAUAGUCAGAGGUGAAAUUCUCGGAUUUAUGGAAGAUGAACAAGUGCGAAAGCAUUUACCAAGGAUGUUUUCAUUAAUCAAGAACGAAAGUUAGGGGAUCGAAGAGGAU